ACAAUGGAGAGUUUGAUCCUGGCUCAGGAUGAACGCUGGCUACAGGCUUAACACAUGCAAGUCGAGGGGAAACGACGGGGAAGCUUGCUUCCCCGGGCGUCGACCGGCGCA
rnacentral:ncRNA from 1 species